GAUGAAGAACGCAGCGAAAUGCGAUAAGUAAUGUGAAUUGCAGAAUUCAGUGAAUCAUCGAAUCUUUGAACGCACAUUGCGCCCGCCAGUAUUCUGGCGGGCAUGCCUGUUCGAGCGUCAUUACAACCCUCAGGCCCCCGGGCCUGGCGUUGGGGAUCGGCGGAGCCCCCCGUGGGCACACGCCGUCCCCCAAAUGCAGUGGCGGUCCCGCCGCAGCUUCCAUCGCGUAGUAGCUAACACCUCGCGACUGGAGAGCGGCGCGGCCACGCCGUAAAACACCCAACUCUUCUGAAGUUGACCUCGAAUCAGGUAGGAAUACCCGCUGGACUUAAGCAUAUCAAUAAGCGGAGGA
rnacentral:misc_RNA from 1 species